rnacentral:lncRNA from 10 species
CUUUAUGAUGCCCACUUAAUUCUGAACAUCUCAGACUGUACUGACCCCAGGGGAGAGGUCGGAGUAGCUGGCAGGCCUAAGAGCUUUUAGCUCAGAGAAGCAGAGGCCUCAGACUUGAAGGAAGUUUUCUUCUGCUUCAGGCAUUUCAGUGAGAUUUUUGGAGAGACUGCUUUAGGUUAAGGAUCUAGGGAGGCUCUUAGAGGGCAGGUGCUUUCAGGAGGUAGAUUCUGCUUUCAAACCAGAACCUUCAUCCGGGUACAGUGGCUCACACCUGUAAUCCCAGCACUUUGGGAGGCUGAGGCAGGAGGAUCAUUUGAUCCUCCAGUCCGGGCAACAUAGGGAGACCCUAUCUGUACAACAGAUUUUUUAAAACAAAUUCAUGGGGCAUGGUGGUGCAUGCCUGUGGUCCCAGCUACUUGGGAGGCUGAGGCAGGAGGAUCACCUGAGCCCAGGAGGUCAAGGCGGCAGUGAGCCAUUGCACUCCAGCCUGGGUGCCGGUGAGACCCUGACUGAAAUAAAAACAAAACUUUCUAGCACCUAGAAGCUGUGAAGCA